CAGCAGCCACGGGAAUACGGAGGGAGCUAGCGUUGUUCGGAAUUACUGGGCGUAAAGCGCACGUAGGCGGUUAUUCAAGUCAGAGGUGAAAGCCCGGGGCUCAACCCCGGAACUGCCUUUGAAACUAGAUGACUGGAAUCUUGGAGAGGUCAGUGGAAUUCCGAGUGUAGAGGUGAAAUUCGUAGAUAUUCGGAAGAACACCAGUGGCGAAGGCGACUGACUGGACAAGUAUUGACGCUGAGGUGCGAAAGCGUGGGGAGCAAACAGGAUUAGAUACCCCUGUAGUCCCUGUCUCUUAUAC
rnacentral:rRNA from 1 species